CAGGUGCUCGUAUCUUGUCUAUCACUUGUCUCCUGAAAGCAUAGCUCCUCAUAUUGAAAGAUUUGAACCAGUAUCUCCCACAUCCCAUGAGAGUGCUCUGUCCAGAGUGCUGCACAACAUCUGGGAACAGUGGUGCUUUGAACCUCUCUCACUGUUUGCUGGAGGAGGAACUGGAUCCUUGAUUUGACCACAGGUCUCCUAGCUCUCAGUAUUUAACCAUUUUUGAUUGUCUGCACCAACUUCAGAGACCAACCAC